rnacentral:rRNA from 1 species
ACGGGUGCGUAACGCGUAUGCAAUCUACCUUAUACAGGGGAAUAGCCCAGAGAAAUUUGGAUUAAUGCCCCAUAGUGUUAUCGAAUCGCAUGGUUUGAUAACUAAAGUUCCAACGGUAUAAGAUGAGCAUGCGUCCCAUUAGUUAGUUGGUAAGGUAACGGCUUACCAAGACAAUGAUGGGUAGGGGUCCUGAGAGGGAGAUCCCCCACACUGGUACUGAGACACGGACCAGACUCCUACGGGAGGCAGCAGUGAGGAAUAUUGGUCAAUGGGCGCAAGCCUGAACCAGCCAUGCCGCGUGCAGGAAGACGGUCCUAUGGAUUGUAAACUGCUUUUAUACAGGAAGAAACCCUCCCACGUGUGGGAGCUUGACGGUACUGUAGGAAUAAGGAUCGGCUAACUCCGUG